rnacentral:rRNA from 1 species
CCCAGACUCCUACGGGAGGCAGCAGUGGGGGAUAUUGCACAAUGGGGGGAACCCUGAUGCAGCGACGCCGCGUGAGCGAUGAAGUAUUUCGGUAUGUAAAGCUCUAUCAGCAGGGAAGAAAAUGACGGUACUUGAUUAAGAAGCCCCGGCUAACUACGUGCCAGCAGCCGCGGUAAUACGUAGGGGGCAAGCGUUAUCCGGAUUUACUGGGUGUAAAGGGAGCGCAGACGGCAGUGCAAGUCUGGAGUGAAAGGCGGGGGCUCAACCCCCGGACUGCUCUGGAAACUGUACGGCUGGAGUGCAGGAGAGGUAAGUGGAAUUCCUAGUGUAGCGGUGAAAUGCGUAGAUAUUAGGAGGAACACCAGUGGCGAAGGCGGCUUACUGGACUGUAACUGACGUUGAGGCUCGAAAGCGUGGGGAGCAAACAGGAUUAGAUACCCUAGUAACC